rnacentral:misc_RNA from 1 species
GGAGGACGAGCACCAGAAUACCUUGCUAUAAAUAGUUCAGUGCAGAGUUUGGCGAGAAAAUUUUCAGGGUCUGGGAAGCCAAUUGGAACUAUUUGCCAUGGACAGUUGGUUUUGGCAGCUGCAGGGUUGCUUAAAGGUCGGAAGUGUACAGCAUACCCACCCGUGGGACCUGUAAUGACUGCUGCUGGUGCUUCUUGGAUUGAGCCAGAAAGUAUGGGAACAUGUGUUGUUGAUGGUAACAUCAUCACUG